UGAGGAGAUGGUACAGCCGCUCCCCCAUGGCGUAAUAACCGCAAGGGAGAGGAAAGUCCGGACUCCGCAAGGCAGGAUGGUUCCUAACGGGAACAGCCGGCCUGAGGCAGGCAUGGAAAGUGCAACAGAAAAUAUACCGCCCCGAUGCGCACAUCGGGGUAAGGGUGAAAAGGCGAGGUAAGAGCUCACCGUUCCGGCAGUAAUGCCGGAAGCAUUGCAAACCCCAUCCGGAGAAAGGCCAAAUAGGAAGGCAUUCCGUUUCCGCAAGGAAAUCGGAACGGCGCCGCCUGCGCCGUACUGCCUGCGCCGGCAACGGCGCUGACAGGCCCCGCGGCAAUGCAUGCAUUGCAACAGGGCAGACCUUCGGGUAGGCCGUUGGAGCCCGAUAGCGAUACCGGGACAAGAUUAAUGGCUGUUUUAAAACAAAAUCCGGCUUAUUAACUUUUCCAAAGU
rnacentral:RNase_P_RNA from 1 species